rnacentral:rRNA from 1 species
AGUACUCCUACGGGGAGGCAGCAGUGGGGGAAUAGUUGCACAAUGGGCGCAAGCCUGAUGCAGCCAUGCCGCGUGUGUGAAGAAGGCCUUCGGGUUGUAAAGCACUUUCAGUCGUGAGGAAGGUAGUGUAGUUAAUAGCUGCAUUAUUUGACGUUAGCGACAGAAGAAGCACCGGCUAACUCCGUGCCAGCAGCCGCGGUAAUACGGAGGGUGCGAGCGUUAAUCGGAAUUACUGGGCGUAAAGCGCAUGCAGGUGGUUUGUUAAGUCAGAUGUGAAAGACCCGGGGCUCAACCUCGGAAUAGCAUUUGAAACUGGCAGACUAGAGUACUGUAGAGGGGGUAGGAAUUUCAGGUGUAGCGGUGAAAUGCGUAGAGAUCUGAAGGAAUACCGGUGGCGAAGGCGGCCCCCUCGGACAGAUACUGACACUCAGAUGCGAAAGCGUGGGGAGCAAACAGGAUUAGAUACCCUGGUAG